UUCAAAGCUGACGGUUUUCCAUUUCGGAUUCUGUGAAAAAUGCGGUGCUGAAUCUUUGCUCGAUUAUUGAGUGGUUACGGCCAUAGCUAAGGUUUUGUCAGCUUUCCAUUGAGCAGCGAUGUUCCAUGCCUGCAUUACUUCAAUUUAAUCAAGCUCACAGUAUGAAUUGUCAUACAUCUACGUUCCAUAAGAUUACAUCAAUCGUCUCAAUGACAAGAAUGUGUAGUGGAAAUACAUCAGAUGGCUAUGUGACAAUACGCUGUGAACCAGACAUCAAUGAGAUUGCAUACUAAUCAAAAGAUAUACUGUGCCACUCAAUCAAAUUCGCAGUGAACACUGAAUACUUGAGAUAGAGAUAGUGACGACGUAGCACUACCAAAACAUAAGUGAAGUUUUGCUUCAGCGUAUAAAAGAGCCUUGUAACACGUAUUGCAAUGUUCCACGAGGUGUCAAAAUGUUAAAAUAUCAUCGUAAAUGAAUCACUAUAAUAAAAUGAAUUUAUAUUUUGCAGUGAAAUAACCAAAGAUAACAUGGAGAUGAUUUCGAGGUCAUGAUAAUACUCAUCCAAAACAACAUGGAUCGAUAAUUAAUUUCAGUGAACAUAUUGUAGUGGAGUGAAGGUGUAACUGAAACAGCAUAUUUGUUUAUCUGAAACAGCAUAUAUGUUUAAGCAUUUCAUACGACAUUGAUAUAAACAACAGAGCGGGAAAGAUAGGAAGGAGUGAGGG